UCCUAUCGUGUGGUUUAGUGGCUAGUAUGCGCGGCUCUCACCCACGAGGCCCUAAUUCGAUUCCCGGCACGGGAA